rnacentral:rRNA from 1 species
GCAAUUAGAAGAAAACAUAAAUCAGAAUAACAUUUUUGGAUUGAAACCCCACUUUGCCCUGACCGGCUCCGUCUCCAACCACUUCCCCCAAAUCCCGGCGCCGCCGCCGCCGCGAGAAUCUCUCCAUCCACUCCCCCGAGUCCCCAGGAUGGCUCGUCUCGGCUCCACGACCGGGAACGGCGCGGCCAUGGUCGGUCGACAGCCCGCGCUGGCUCCUCGGCCAAGCGAGGCGGCUUGGGGGCGCCUCGGCCGCUGAGGCUCGCCGGUGGAGGCGCAGGGCGGCGGCGGCCCUCCUCUCCCUGCGGAUUCCUUCACGGCCGGACCGCCCCGACGUCCACGCCGGGCGGUGUACAAGGCCAAGGGCCGCCACGACCUCGACAUGAUCGUGGCAUACAAGCUUCGCCUCGAGCAGGAUCAUCUCCUCCCUUCCUUCCUCAAGGAGACCAG